GACGAACGCUGGCGGCGUGCUUAACACAUGCAAGUCGAACGGAAAGGCCCUGCGUUUGUGGGGUUCUCGAUUGGCGAACGGGUGAGUAACACGUGAGUAACCUGCCCUUGACUUUGUGAUAACUUCAGGAAACUGGGGCGAAUACCGGAUAGGAUCUCCUGCUGCAUGGUGGGGGUUGGAGAGUUUCGGCGGUUGUGGAUGGUGUCGCGGCUUAUCAGCUUGUUGGUGAGGUAGUGGCUUACCAAGGCUUUGACGGGUAGCCGGCCUGAGAGGGUGACCGGCCACAUAGGGACAGGGAUACGGCCCAGAGUCAAACGGGAGGAAGCAGCGGGGAAUAGUGGGAAAAGGGCGGAGGCAGGAUGCAGCAACGCCGCGUGGGGGAAGACGGCUUUCGGGUUGUAACAAGCUUUCGCGUGUGACGAAGCGUGAGUGACGGUAAUGGGCAAAGAAGCACCGGCUAACUACGU
rnacentral:rRNA from 1 species